UACGUAGGUGGCAAGCGUUGUCCGGAUUUAUUGGGUUUAAAGGGUGCGUAGGCGGCUUAUUAAGUCAGUGGUGAAAUACUCUAGCUCAACUAGAGGGGUGCCAUUGAUACUGAUGAGCUUGAGUACAGAUGAGGUAGGCGGAAUGGAUCGUGUAGCGGUGAAAUGCAUAGAUACGAUCCAGAACACCGAUUGCGUAGGCAGCUUACUAGGCUGUAACUGACGCUGAGGCACGAAAGCGUGGGUAGCGAACAGG
rnacentral:rRNA from 1 species